AUUGAACGCUGGCGGCAGGCCUAACACAUGCAAGUCGAGCGGAGCGGCGGACGCGUGCGUAAUGCCUAUGAAUCUGCCUGUUAGUGGGGGAUAACGUCCGGAACCGGACGCUAUUACCGCAUCCUAUCAGAUGAGCCUAGGUGGGAUUAGCUAGUUGGUGGGGUAAAGGCCUACCAAGGCGACGAUCCGUAACUGGUCUGAGAGGAUGAUCAGCCACACUGGAACUGAGACACGGUCCAGACUCCUACGGGAGGCAGCAGUGGGGAAUAUUGGACAAUGGGCGAAAGCCUGAUCCAGCCAUGCCGCGUGUGUGAAGAAGGUCUUCGGAUUGUAAAGCACUUUAAGUUGGGAGGCGUUACCAACAGAAGAAGCACCGGCUAACUCCGUGCCAGCAGCCGCGGUAAUAC
rnacentral:rRNA from 1 species